GAAACUUCAAGCUCAGCUUGGUGUUGGGUGCUUGUCCCCCUCCUGGGGGGACUCACCUCAAAUGCAUUGGCGGCCGGUAUAUUGGCUACAGCGCAGUACAACGCGUCUGGCGUCUUGGUAUACUGGUCCCCCAGAAGCCACUUCUUUU
rnacentral:misc_RNA from 1 species